rnacentral:lncRNA from 1 species
GGGGCGUUAUGUCGCGACAGGGCGCCAUUAUGUCGUGAUAGGGGGCGUUAUGUCGCGAUAAGGCGCCGUUAUGUCGCGAUAGGGCACCGUUAUGUCGCGAUAAGACACCGUUAUGUUGCGAUAAGGCGCCAUUAUGUCGCGAUAGGGCACCGCCAACGGGUCACAGGCGCCUCCACGCCGCGAUAGAGCGCAGGGAUAUCGCGAUAGUCGCAGCCAUAUCGCGAUAGUUGCCGUCAUAUCGCGAUAUUCGAGUGGGGACCCCCCCCCCAACCCCCCAGGCCGGGGCUAUGGAUGAG